UACGGAGGGUGCAAGCGUUAUCCGGAUUUACUGGGUUUAAAGGGUGUGUAGGCGGAUUUUUAAGUCCGUGGUGAAAUCUCCGGGCUCAACCCGGAAACUGCCAUGGAUACUAUGAGUCUUGAAUAUUGUGGAGGUGGGCGGAAUGUGUCAUGUAGCGGUGAAAUGCUUAGAUAUGACAUAGAACACCCAUUGCGAAGGCAGCUCGCUACACGGUUAUUGACACUGAGGCACGAAAGCGUGGGGAUCAAACAGG
rnacentral:rRNA from 1 species